rnacentral:rRNA from 1 species
CCGCCUAGGGUAAAAUCGGUAAUUGGGGCUAAGUCGUAACAAGGUAGCCGUAUCGGAAGGUGCGGCUGGAAUACCUCCUUUUUAGAGCU